GUAUUAUCAAUUUUAAAGAUGUGCAAAGGCAUUGAAAUGGAAGAGGCCAGUGAAAGCAUUAUGUGACCACUUGUCACCAUGGCACAGAGCAGGGAUAAUGAAAAUGGUACCUUCAGAUACUGCCGGACUAAAACUCCCAUCAGUCCUUGCCAACACUACAUUCCCUGCACUUGUGAUUGCCUGCAACUAGUAUAUAGCGGGUGGCACUGUAGUCUAAACCACUGCGCCUCUGGGCUUGCCAAUCAGAAGGUCAGCAGUUUGAACCCCCACGACGGGGUGAGCUCCUGUUGCCUGGUCCCUGCUCCUGCCAACCUAGCAAUUCGAAAGCACGUCAGAGUGCAAGUAGAUAAAUAGGUACUGCUCCGGCGGGAAGGUAAACGGCAUUUCCGUGCACUGCUCUGGUUUUGCCAGAAGCGGCUUAGUCAUGCUGGCCACAUGACCCGGAAAAACUGCGGACAAACAUCUGGCUCCCUCGGCCAGUAAAGUGAGAUGAGCGCCGCAACCCCAGAGUCGUCCGCGACUGGACUUAACUGUCAGGGGUCCCUUUACCUUUAGUAUAUAGCUGUCUAUCAUCUGUUUCAACACAGUGGACUAACUGGAUAAGAUUGUAAAAAGGUUUGGACUUUGGUGGGGAGCAUCACUGCAAUCACACCCAGCUCUCUUCUUCCCAUCCAUGCCAGGUUCUGUGGUAUCUGCAUUUGCUCAGUGGCAAAGCAGACUCCGCAGCCGCCUCCCUUACAGUGACAAAGGGUUGCACGAUUGUUUCGCUGGCUUCUUCAUUUCAAUGUAGUCUUUGUGUUGCACUCUUUAGCUUUCAUUGUGUGGGUGUGGCAUGCCUCAGGACAUUUUCUCUGCUUCUCAAAGAGGUAAUCUUUUUAGUAAGAGGGGAAAUGUUAGAGGGGACAAAACCCAAGCAGCUGCUAUAGGAUAAUUGCUUUAUUAGGAGAAGCUUUAAAAAAACCACCUUGCCAAACAGUUCUAGUUAAUGUAGUCCAAAACGUCUCAAGGGCAGGAUGGCAAACACUGGGUUAAAGCGUCAAGACCAUGGGUAGGCAAACUAAGGCCUGGGGGCCGGAUCCAGCCCAAUCGCCUUCUAAAUCCGGCCCAGGGACGGUCCAGGAAUCAGCGUGUUUUUACAUGAGUAGAAUGUGUCCUUUUAUUUAAAAUGCAUCUCUGGGUUAUUUGUCGGGCAGAGGAAUUUGUUCAUUUUUUUCUUCUUCAAAAUAUAGUCCGCCCCCCCCAAGGUCUGAGGGACAGUGGACCGUCCCCCUGCUGAAAAAGUUUGCUGACCCCUGGUCAAGAGUGUACAGAGGAGCAGCUGUAUUAGUCUGUUAAAACAAAUGCCCUUGCUUAGGGAAUCUUAAAUAGCUCAGGUCGGCGGUUCCCAAACUAAUCUACAGCAUCUUGGAAGAGGUGUAACAUCAUGGGAGGGGUGUUUCCAGGUACCCCAGGGACAGUGAGCAACAUCACAAGGGUAGGGGUUUCUGGGACCAAGGCAAAAGUCUCGCUCUCUCGUUUUUGCUCUUGAAUGUUGUUAACGUAAUCUUGUUUUAUAUACUGAAAUACCGUUGGUUGGUUUUUUGUAUGCUGUCAAUAUUUGCUAUUGAGCUGUUGUUUUAUUGUGCAUUCCUCUUUUCUUUGUUGUAUGCCGCUUUGAGCAUAUUUUUGGGUGGAAAAGCAGCCUACAAGUAAUGAAUGAGCAAGCAUGCCUGUAGAAGAAAGAUUACAAAUCAUACAAUAUCAAGCACAGCACACUGCAAUUGCUACAACAGGCAGUAAAAUCAUUAAGUGGUCUAUCAAGAUCCUCUGCAAUUGUCAAGGGGUCCAUGGGUUUGGGAACCAAUGGCCUAAGUUUUCAUGUACCAUACUAAAGCGCAUGUAAGAUACACGGAGUAAAAUCUUAAUUGGCAGCUCUAUAAAGAAGAAAAUUGUAAGAGGUGGGAGCAAACUAGUCAGUGACAAUCAGCUUAAAAGCUUAAAGAGAGCACACCCUUUUCACAGGUUGGUGAUAAUUCCCUGAGCGUUGCCAGGAUGAUUGCAUUAUCACCUGUAGUGGGAAGGGAGCCAUAAGCACAAAACAACUGUAGAUGGCAGAGAUAUCCUGGCAUUGAUAAGCUAAUUAAGACAUGUACAGUGGUUUACGAACUUAAUCCGUUCUGGGAAGUCCGUUCUUAAACUAAAGCGUGCUUUCCCAUAGCAGCGGGGGACUCAAUUUACAAAUGAACACACUCAACAGGAAGUGAAACGUUCUUUUUCCAAGGCAAAAUUCACAAACCAAAAUACCUACUUCUGGGUUUGCAGUGUUCUUAAUCCAAGUUGUUCAUAAACUAAGCUGUUCUUAAACCAAAGUACCACUGUAGUGGGUGAAAAAAUAAAAUAAAUCCUGUCUCAAUUUAACCCACAAGUGAUGGCACUGAACUUCUUGUUCUGGAAUGGCGAGCAGGACUCGAGUACACCAAAGAUUGAAGAGGAUGUAAGAUGUGAUUUAGCAGUCUGCAAAUGGCAGACUUUUUCGUCAUGCCGGAAAGCAUAUUUGCAUUUUGUUCACCCAGCCCUUUUAAAUAGCUUAGGUAGUUUUCAAAAAGCGGAGCAGCACGAAGAGUUCCAUUUUGUUGUGUGCCUGUAGUUUUUCCCCUUUUAUGGUUUACUUUGCUUCUAACUUAUUUAUUGUAAGCCACCAAGGGAACAAAUGUCAAAUAAAUGGCUGAACACUCACUUCAAAGAAGCAUUUGUGGGAGUCUGGAAGAGCGAUCUUUGCUCUGUGAAUUGCAAUGUAACGAGUUCCACUGAGUUCAAUGGGAUUUUCUCUGCUAAAUAUGUAUAGCUUUGCACCCACAGACUUUUUAAGGCAGGGAAAUAAGCAAUGUCCCCCCACCAACUCUUCCUAUAUCCACAGAUCUGCUCACCCAUCUGGCAUUCAGACCCCGGGGAGUUCAACCCAGCCAGCUGGACAUUGAAUGGGGAGAGUUCUAAAUCCAGGCACAGGUCCACAUGGAGAUCUCUGGAUGCUAGGUUGGCGGCGGACAUCUCCAUCUGGCUGACCCUCCGGAUUUCUUAAGCAGGUAAGCAGAAGAGCGUCUUCACUGCAUUUAUAUCCCACGGAGUACAUGGUUUCCCCCAUCCCAGUUAAUUCCUACAGUGACCCUUUGAGGUAGGUUCAGAGGCUGUGACCGACUCCAAGGUCACCCACUGAGCUUCAUGAUUGAGUGGGGAUUUGAACCCUGAUCUCCCAGGUCCUAGUCUAACACUCUACCCACAUCACCACACUGGCUUCCUGGAGUAUUUCUGCUAUGGGGCAUAUAUAUAAAUAGGUACAUAAUUAUGGGAAAAGCAAAACGUCACUUAGAGAAGGCUCUAAAAUACUUUCCUUGAAGCCUGAAUUUGCUUUAUUCUGGAUUGUUUUGUUUGAUGUUUUAAUGUGUUGUAAACCGCUUGGAGAUUUUUUUCUCUUUAAAACAUAAAGCAGUAUAGAAAUGAAAUUAAUAUUAACAAUAAUACAGUGGUACCUCGGGUUAAGUACUUAAUUUGUUCCGGAGGUCUGUUCUUAACCAGAAACUGUUCUUAACCUGAAGCACCAGUUUAGCUAAUGGGGCCUCCUGCUUCUGCCACGCCGCCGGAGCACGAUUUCUGUUCUCAUCCUGAAGCAAAGUUCUUAACCUGAAGCACUAUUUCUGGGUUGGCAGUCUGUAACCUGAAGCGUAUGUAACCUGAGGUACCACUGUAAAUCCCAUUGGGGGGGAAAUGGUGCCUAGACAUGUUGUUGCGCUAAUUGUAACCUAGGUUUAAGGUGCCAUUUGACAAUGGGCUUAUAUGAGUUUCUAACCCUGGUCUAGACGUAACUGACACUUCGGUCCUCCCUCAAAAGCCACCUACGAACAGAGGAUCAAUGAAGCCAUGUGGGAAGGCUUUUAUCCACUAGAGCAGGCAUUAGAACGUACGACUUUUCGACAGGAGGCAUUCCAGAACUGCUUUGCUUGCUCUGGAACAGCCUUGACCAACAUGUUAAAAAAAGAUACCUGUACCCCUUUUCCCCAGGGCGCAUGCCUACAGGCUGGGGGAUCUUUGGCCCUUGUUUUAGCCGGCAGCGAAUUAGAUGGUCUGACUUAGCAAAAGGCAGAUUUGUCUCUCCUCGUGACAAGCAGCAUCCCUAGAGUAGAAGCUCGCUACUUCAAUGUACAGUGGUGCCCCGCAAGACGAAUGCCUCGCAAGACAAAAAACUCGCUAGACAAAAGGGUUUUGCGUUUUUUGAGCUGCUUCGCAAGACGAAUUUCCCUAUGGGCUUGCUUCGCAAGACGAAAAACGAAAAUGUCUUGCAAGUUUGUUUCCUUUUUUCUUAACACCGUUAAUACAGUUGCGACUUGACUUCGAGGAGCAACUCAUAGAACGUGGUGUGGUAGCCUUUUUUGAGGUUUUUGAAGACUUUGGUGAUUUUUGAAGCUUUUCCAAAACUUCUUUUAAACUUUUAAAACUUUUUUGAGGGUUUUUGGAUUUUGGGUUGGGGUGUUUGGAAUUCAAGGACUUGGUGUUGGGGAGGGGUUUGCAAGAAUCUGGAAGCUUGUGUGGUUUUUUUCUGCAUUUUUAUGAUUUUCUGUGACCAUUGGGCCACUCUGCUGUUUUUUAAAAAAAAUUCUGGAUUUGAAUUUCUGUGUGGUGGGUGGCUGGGGGAACAGCUGAGGAGGGGUUUUCAAGAAUCUGGAAGCUUGUGUGGUUUUUUUCUGCAUUUU
rnacentral:lncRNA from 1 species